CAUAGGGAUUCCAGCGAACACCAGGAUGACUGUGGAUGGCAAGGGGUUCGUGGGGUUUUAAUGCACGAACGGAGACCGACCGCAAGGCCAAAACUUAUGGAACUCUUUUCGGCUAGAAAACCUGUGCGGUCGGUCAAAACUUCAAAGAUCCAUAACUCCCGAACCCCUCAACCGAAUGGGCUGAAAUUUGGACAUGUUGUUCCCCUGAGUGGACUUAAAGGUGACCCCCUGUUUUUGGGGUACAUCCAGAAUGUGGGUAAAAUUGUGUCUGUUUUAAUUAUGUUAUAUGUUUAUCUGAGGGGAGGAGACGUGGGGGUUGUACCAUGUAUCUGAUUGGCUGUUGUGUUAAUUAUGUGGGUGUAGCCUUUCAGAGGGCACCAUUGCAUAAAAGGAGACCCCUGUCAAUAAACAUCAGUUCUACUUGACCCUUCAAAACGUAGCCUCGUCUCGUUCUUGGAGGGGAUUUAUGGUACCGUUACUCUGCCUCAUUU